rnacentral:miRNA from 1 species
UUGUAGUGCAUAUUUGUUUU